GACGAACGCUGGCGGCGUGCUUAACACAUGCAAGUCGAACGGAAGGGCCCGGCGUUUGUUUGUUUCUCGAUUGGCGAGCGGGGGAGUGACACGUGAGUAACCUGCCCUUAUCUGUGUGGGAACUUCACGGAACUGGGGCGAAUACCGGGGAGAAGCUUCUGCUCCGUGUUGUGGGUAGGAAAGUGUCGGCGUUUGGGGAUGGACUGGCGGCUUAUCAGCUUGUUGGUGGGGUAGUGGCGUACGAAGGCUUUGAAGGGUAGCCGGCAUGAGAGGGUGAACGGCGACCUUGGGACUGCGAUACGGCCCAGAAUGCUAUGGGCGGCAGUAGGGGAGAACCUUGCACAACGGGGCGAAGUGUGAGGUAGCAACGUCGCGUGCGGGAUGCCGUCUUUUGGGUUGUAAACAGAUUUGUAAUGUGCUGAAGAGUGCGUGACGGUACCGGGUCAAGAAGCCACGGCUAACUACGUG
rnacentral:rRNA from 1 species